rnacentral:misc_RNA from 1 species
GACGAACCGUGCGAACGUUAUUCGGAAUCAUUGGGCUUAAAGAGCGCGUAGGCGGCGUCGUGAGUUGGAGGUGAAAUCCCAUCGGCUCAACCGUGGAACUGCCCCCAAUACUGCGAUGCUCGAGGGAGGUAGGGGCAUGUGGAACUUCCGGUGGAGCGGUGAAAUGUGUUGAGAUCGGAAGGAACGCCAGUGGCGAAAGCGACAUGCUGGAUCUCAUCUGACGCUGAGGCGCGAAAGCUAGGGGAGCGAACGGG